GACGCUUUGGCGCAAUGGUAGCGUGUGGUCCUCCUAUGUAAUAUGGGAGAGCAGACUGAGGUUGUGGGUUCGAGUCCCAUGAGCGUCG